UGCAGCAACGCCGCGUGAGGGAUGACGGCCUAUCGGGUUGUAAACCUCUUUUAGUAGGGAAGAAGCGAAAGUGACGGUACCUGCAGAAAAAGCACCGGCUAACUACGUGCCAGCAGCCGCGGUAAUACGUAGGGUGCAAGCGUUGUCCGGAAUUAUUGGGCGUAAAGAGCUCGUAGGCGGUUUGUCGCGUCUGCUGUGAAAUCCCGAGGCUCAACCUCGGGCUUGCAGUGGGUACGGGCAGACUAGAGUGCGGUAGGGGAGAUUGGAAUUCCUGGUGUAGCGGUGGAAUGCGCAGAUAUCAGGAGGAACACCGAUGGCGAAGGCAGAUCUCUGGGCCGUAACUGACGCUGAGGAGCGAAAGCAUGGGGAGCGAACAGGAUUAGAUACCCUGGUAGUCCAUGCCGUAAACGUUGGGCGCUAGAUGUAGGGACCUUUCCACGGUUUCUGUGUCGUAGCUAACGCAUUAAGCGCCCCGCCUGGGGAGUACGGCCGCAAGGCUAAAACUCAAAGGAAUUGACGGGGGCCCGCACAAGCGGCGGAGCAUGCGGAUUAAUUCGAUGCAACGCGAAGAACCUUACCAAGGCUUGACAUACACCGGAAACGGCCAGAGAUGGUCGCCCCCUUGUGGUC
rnacentral:rRNA from 3 species